rnacentral:rRNA from 1 species
GAUGAACGCUGGCGGCGUGCCUAAUACAUGCAAGUCGAGCGAACAGACGAGGAGCUUGCUCCUCUGACGUUAGCGGCGGACGGGUGAGUAACACGUGGAUAACCUACCUAUAAGACUGGGAUAACUUCGGGAAACCGGAGCUAAUACCGGAUAAUAUAUUGAACCGCAUGGUUCAAUAGUGAAAGACGGUUUUGCUGUCACUUAUAGAUGGAUCCGCGCCGCAUUAGCUAGUUGGUAAGGUAACGGCUUACCAAGGCAACGAUGCGUAGCCGACCUGAGAGGGUGAUCGGCCACACUGGAACUUAGACACGGUCCAUACUCCUACGGGAGGCAGCAGUAGGGAAUCUUCCGCAAUGGGCGAAAGCCUUACGGAACAACGCCGCGUGAGUGAUGAAGGUCUUCGGAUCGUAAAACUCUGUUAUUAGGGAAGAACAAAUGUGUAAGUAACUAUGCACGUCUUGACGGUACCUAAUCAGAAAGCCACGGCUAACUACGUG